GGGAGCGUAGCUCAGUGGUUAGAGCGGGGGACUCAUAAUCCCUUGGUCGCGGGUUCGAAUCCUGCCGCUCCCA
rnacentral:tRNA from 1 species